UACGUAGGGGGCAAGCGUUGUCCGGAAUCAUUGGGCGUAAAGAGCGUGUAGGCGGCCCGAUAAGUCCGCUGUGAAAGUCCAGGGCUCAACCCUGGAAAGCGGGUGGAUACUGCCGGGCUAGAAUCCGGAAGAGGCGAGUGGAAUUCCUGGUGUAGCGGUGGAAUGCGCAGAUAUCAGGAGGAACACCAAUAGCGAAGGCAGCUCGCUGGGACGGUAUUGACGCUAAGGCGCGAAAGCGUGGGGAGCAAACAGG
rnacentral:rRNA from 1 species